GAGAUCUGGGUUAUGUGGGCAUGUUGCCCGGUGAGUUUCGCACCGCUGGGUCUGGGACUCGAGCCUCGCAGUCGGCUACGUGGGAUCCAGGCCACGGGCUAGCCCCCUCAGGCCUUCUGAACCCAGGUUUGCCACAAGUCUACGUCCACUGUAGCCCAGCUGGGGGAAGCCAGCCCCUGCGAAGGUUCCUCCCACUCAACACAGACCCAAUAACCAAGCCGCACCCCACAGGAAAGCCCAUGCUGGAGCGCUCACCUCUGCGAGGCUCUCCCCACGGCGCCUGGACUCCCCCAAGGCCAACGACACAGCCUUUACCCCCCGGCAGGCCCAGACCUGGCACCUCCGAGAACCCCAGUGAUCAGCAUGGCACCUGGGGCCUCCUCCCAGCACCGGACCACCUGCUGCACCCUGUGACUCCACCCCCACAGAGAGCCACACUGGGGAGUGGGACUCUGCAGGACAGUGAGUGGUACUUGCAGGGGAGGCCUGGCUUCAGGGCUCAGCAGCCUUGGGGGCAGGGCCAGCAAGCAGCCCUGUGAGCCCUGAGCCUCAGUGCACCCAUGCCCCACGGAGUCUGGAACUUUCUAGAACAAAGCUGCCCAAGGCCCGCUUGGCGCCUGGGUGCUGCCCACACCCCCAGCAUGGUCCGCCAAAUCACACGAGAAUCUCCUUAGACGGCCUGAGCGGAUCCGAACUCUCAACACGAAGAACUGUGCCUGCAGCCGCGGAGCCUCACUACAAACUGCAGCCGUCGAAGAUCACAUCCGCUCUUGUGUCCCCCCCCACACACCUGGGAAAUGCGGAGGCCCUGGUUACCUAGGCCACCUUCCAACCUGACCAAGGACGCCCGGACAGCACUGCGCCCAGCGUGAAUCUUAGGAACAUGGCCCACACCUGUGCUGCGAACAGAAGCCUGGGAUUGGAACCAUCGACUGGUGACUGGUGUGACCCUGUAAGAGACCCCAGGCCGGC